rnacentral:hammerhead_ribozyme from 15 species
AAGGCGUAUAAGGUAGGGUUCCACUACAAUGCCUUACUGAUGAGUCCAGUAGUGGAAGCCGGGACGAAACGCCAG